CGGGUCGAGGCGGAGGCAGGUGAGGGACGGCGACGGCGUCUUGCAGCACUUACGGAGCUUGGCACUGAGGAUCUGCGACAGAUUGUUGCCGCUGCCAUUUGCCGUCAAGGAGGAUGAGCCGCCGCCGCCGCCCCGGCCGUCCCGCGCUGCCACCGCGGUCCCCGGUGCGAGCUCCCCGGUGGCGUUCCUCGAGACCGGGAAGUUGGUCUUGGCGUUGCGGCCGCUCAUCAGUAUGGCGGCCUCGUCGUACGCCCGCGCCGCCUCCUCCGCCGUCUCGAAGGGUGGUUGGGGCCAGCGACAGUAUAUAUCAGAGUUUAGUAAGGGAUAAGAUAAAACUGAACAUGUGAGAAAGAUCAGAGAGAAGCUGUGACAAGGAAGGGAAGACUCUUUGGUGAGAUUAGUGGAAGAGAGAGAGAGAUGGAAAGAGGAGGGUGGCCCCUCAUGGGCUGAUGGAGUGGGCUGUCGGUGAACUGUGGCGAGCGGCAUAACCACCCUUCUCUGCCAGUACGCAGGUACAAAGACUGAAGCUUGGAGAGGUGAAGCCAUUUACAAACCACAGAAAGUACUACUCCAAUGUCCAAAUUUGGACUUGAUGGACAUGCGUAACCAAGGCAAGAAGAGUAGCUACUCCAUGCUGUAUGUAUGCCAUAUUGCCAUGCACUGCAGGUUUACUCCAACUUCUAAAGCCAAUUUCCAAGGGACACCAUCGACAGAGCAGUUGGCCUGCAAUAACUGCUCCAAUCAAGCAGGCAAUCAUCCAUCCAUGGCGCAUCGUCAAGGAAAGGCACAGAUUGCAGCACCAGCAGCAGAACCCAGCUCUCCUCUCCGUAAAAAAGGUGAAACGGAGUUAAUGGCGGAGUGUGUUCGUUGCCAUUGUUCGUCCGGCCGAUCGAAUUGAAUGGGGCUUCCGGCCGGGUACUUUUACAGUUCCAUCGGCUCCACCCAGAUACGUGUGUCAGUGAGUUCCUGCAGGGAUGGAAGCUUCUGCUGCUCGAUCCGCCGUCGUACGCACGCACGCACUGCUUCCUCCUUUUUUACAUGGAAAAGUGCAGGCAGAUUUGUGGUGGUUGCCCAGGACUGUCAGUACCUGUCGUCCAGUAAAAACAGUUGACAGGUUUCACAUUUUGCCGGUAAACUGUGGGGCCUAGGCCGAGCUGGCCGGCGAUGGUUACAGGAAACGGAUAACGUUGAUUAGAUCUGCGACACCUCUGCCAGAGCAAGGUCUACAAGAAGGUACAGUGUGCUACUCCUACACCACAUCCUUGCCUUCAAGAAGCUGCAUUAUACGUGGGGUGUUUAGUUGGUGAAAUAAAAAUUUUUGCGUGUCACAUCAAACGUUUGACUGGAUGU